rnacentral:rRNA from 1 species
UAAUAGCGUAUAUUAAAGUUGUUGCAGUUAAAAAGCUCGUAGUUGGAUCUUGGGGUCGGGCAGGCUGUCGGCCUCUGGUCGGACGGCUUUCUCGGCCCUUUCUUUCUGGGGACCACGUCACUUUUCACUAAGGGGCGCUGGGGCUCAGAUCGUUUACUUUGAAAAAAUUAGAGUGUUCAAAGCAGGCUAUCGCUUGAAUACAUUAGCAUGGAAUAAUGGAAUAGGACUGCGGUCUUAUUUUGUUGGUUUAUAGGACCGAAGUAAUGAUUAAUAGGGAUAGUUGGGGCCGUUUAUAUUCCGUUGUCAGAGGUGAAAUUCUUGGAUUUACGGAAGAUAAACUUCUGCGAAAGCAUUCGGCAAGGAUGUUUUCAUUAA